GAUGAACGUUGGCGGCGUGCCUAAUACAUGCAAGUCGAACGAAGACUGUAGUAAUACUGUCUUAGUGGCGAACGGGUGAGUAACGCGUGGGUGACCUGCCCCGAAGUGUGGGAUAACAGUCCGAAAGGAUUGCUAAUACUGCAUAAUAUCCAAGAGAUUAGAUGCUUUUUGGAUUAAAGGAGUAAUUCGCUUCGGGAGGGGCCCGCGUCCCAUCAGCUAGUUGGUAAGGUAAUGGCUUACCAAGGCGAUGACGGGUAGGGGACCUGAGAGGGUGGCCCCCCACAAUGGAACUGAAACACGGUCCAUACACCUACGGGUGGCAGCAGUAGGGAAUAUUAGUAAUGGGCGAAAGCCUGAACUAGCAACGCCGCGUGUGCGAAGAAGGCCUUCGGGUUGUAAAGCACUUUUGAGAGGAUGAGGAAGGACGGUACUCUCAGAAUAAGUCUCGGCUAACUACGUGCCAGCAGCCGCGGUAAGAUCACGUGUA
rnacentral:rRNA from 1 species